GAUGAACGCUGGCGGCGUGCCUAAUACAUGCAAGUCGAGCGAACAGACGAGGAGCUUGCUCCUCUGACGUUAGCGGCGGACGGGUGAGUAACACGUGGAUAACCUACCUAUAAGACUGGGAUAACUUCGGGAAACCGGAGCUAAUACCGGAUAAUAUAUUGAACCGCAUGGUUCAAUAGUGAAAGACGGUUUUGCUGUCACUUAUAGAUGGAUCCGCGCCGCAUUAGCUAGUUGGUAAGGUAACGGCUUACCAAGGCAACGAUGCGUAGCCGACCUGAGAGGGUGAUCGGCCACACUGGAACUGAGACACGGUCCAGACUCCUACGGGAGGCAGCAGUAGGGAAUCUUCCGCAAUGGGCGAAAGCCUGACGGAGCAACGCCGCGUGAGUGAUGAAGGUCUUCGGAUCGUAAAACUCUGUUAUUAGGGAAGAACAAAUGUGUAAGUAACUAUGCACGUCUUGACGGUACCUAAUCAGAAGGCCACGGCUAACUACGU
rnacentral:rRNA from 1 species